AGCAGCCGCGGUAAUUCCAGCUCCAAUAGCGUAUAUUAAAGUUGCUGCAGUUAAAAAGCUCGUAGUUGAAUUUCGGGACUAAUAUGUCGGUCGUGCCUCGGUACGUACUGGCUUAUUGGUUUCUCCUUUCUGAAGAACCAUGAUGUCAUUUAUUUGGUGUCGUGGGGAAUCAGGACUGUUACUUUGAAAAAAUUAGAGUGUUUAAAGCAGGCUCACGCUUGAAUACAUUAGCAUGGAAUAAUGAAAUAGGACGUUUGAUUCUAUUUUGUUGGUUUCUAGGAUCGACGUAAUGAUUAAUAGGGAUAGUUGGGGGCAUUAGUAUUCAAUUGUCAGAGGUGAAAUUCUUGGAUUUAUUGAAGACUAACUACUGCGAAAGCAUUUGCCAAGGAUGUUUUCAUUAAUCAAGAACGAAAGUUAGGGGAUCGAAGACGAUCAGAUACCGUCGUAGUCUUAACCAUAAACUAUGCCGACUAGGGAUC
rnacentral:rRNA from 1 species